rnacentral:lncRNA from 1 species
GUGAUUUGGCUGCAAACCCGAAUAUGCCAAGGAAAGACUACUGCUGCUCUUUUGGUUCUAUGCCACCACUAUGACGAAGUCUAUCAAGAAGCUGAAGAAUGAGACUAAUCUUUCUGUAGCUCCAAUUUUGUUGGGAUACUUGCAUUUACUCCCAGCUAUGAUUGUGAAUAAGAUAACUAACAAAGGAUUCCAUUUUCAUUUC